ensembl:lncRNA
GUUGAGCCAUCUGCUUCAUGAAGGAAUGGAACAAAGGAUCCCAGCAUGAGGUCGCUUUAUCCCACUUCAACUGGUGCUUGCACUUGGGCUUCAACAAGUACAGCUAUGCUGAUUUAAAAAAGUAAUACUAGUAAUAAAUAGACUCUAAAUAUUGGUAACACUUUCAAGUGUAAAGGAGAUUAAAAGUGAAUGCAGCUUUUGAAUAGUUAGAAAAACAGAUGCCAUUCGAACCAGUUCUGGGAGAAGUGUAAUUAGCUGAAGUCAUUUUCACAGAUAAGACUGAAGGGCAUUUUGCCAGGAGCCUGUGGGAAGGACCUAAAUUGUCUGGGAAAGAAACUCGAAGUCGUGAGUCUGGUGGAGCCCUGAGCGUUUCCAAACGCCCUGCUCUGAGUUCAUCCCACCAGUCGGUCUGUGCAGCGUGAGAACUGGUACGUAAACACAAUUCACAGGCACAUGGGACAAGAAGGAUGUCAGGCUUUUCUGACAGUGGCACCUUGUUCAUGGCUCUCAAAGUUUGGAGGGAGAGUGGGAUCACUGGAAGAUACAAGGCAAGCUGAUGGUUCCCUGGUGGUGCUUACAGCCAGAGGCUUUGGUGGAGAAGGGUACAGCAGUGAGAGCUGUGAGUGUCCAGGAGUCAUCCCAGGCUAUGGUGCUGAGGCUUUAGACACGCUCUGUGGAGCGAUGUGUGGUGUCACAGCACGCACGGAGGGGCGACGUGGGGGUAAUGACAAAUGCAUACACACACACACAGACACAGGCUGUGCAAGUGUAGGCACAUGGAAACAAAGAUGGCAAUGCAUAUAUAGUAUAUACUAUACAGUGGCAUAUGAGAGCUUGGGGGUGUAUAUACCAAAUGUCUGUAUAUACUAUAUAUGGCGAUUAAAGAAUGCAUAUGCAUUCAUGUUCUCUUUUUUUUUUUCUUCCUGUCUCUUCUGUCUUUCUGUGGAGCUGUUGCAAAACUACCAGAUUCAACCUCCUGGGGAGCCUUUCUGGCCAAGGAUGUGCUGUUUGUUGGAAGACGAGGAUGAGCAGUGCCCGGGUGCCGUAGCGCAGUGCUCCGGGCAGGGCUAGUCUGGCACGUCUGGGAAAGCGCUUUGUGACUCUCAGUGUUCACGUGCUGAUCCUUCUCUGUGCAACAUCUCACCCCUGCAAGGACGUGAUUGAGAGCUGGACAGACUGUGAAGGAUGAGCUCCCCAUGUGCUGCCUGUGCCCCCUUUCCUGGUGGGUGCUGGGCAGAGCUGGGGGAGCUCUGGAGGAUGAGCCGAUGCCCACGGCUGGGACUGCAGGCUGCCAGGGCUCUCCAUCUGGUGUUUCUCCAGGACCUGAGCAGAUUCAAUGAUCACUGACGCUUUCCAGGAUCCACAAAGGAUUUUCUUGUGCUCCAGGAACAGAGCCAUUAAAGGCUGACCUGUAAAUUAAUACAGCUGUCUAAAGAUUUUUUUUUCCUCCUGUAGCCUGGCACCUAGUAAACACUGUCUGAGAAGCCUUCCAUGGCACUGGCCCUCAAGAGUGUUCAGAGAGCUCCAUGCCUGCUUUUCUUAAGCUUCUCUCAAUCUCUUUUAAUGAUGUGUUAAACGCAAAGGACUUGCUUUAGCUCCCAUGUAGGGAGCUUUGGUUCACAGCCCAUCCUUCAUCCUGGCUGUUGCCCUGAUCAAUCCAGGGCUGGCACUGCACAGUUGGCAAAGGGGUUACACCAGCACUGUGAUUUGAGUUCUCUGAGGGAGCUCAGUGUGCACUAAGGGCUGGGUGUAUGUGCCCCACAGCAGGUAAGAGAAGCUGCCCCAGAGCACAUGUGGGCAUGGAGGGGUGAAGGUUACAAACCUCUGCACAUCUUAUACUUUGCAUUUCUUUAGGCAAAGGUUUUGGAUCUAAGUACUAAAUUGUGACUGAAGGCUGAGGAAAGGCUGGUGUUAUUGUGGUGUGCAGGCAUAGAAAUUAGGGCACUGUGUGGCAGAUUCAGGAAAAGUGCAAAUCUCUGUAUUUUGUGUGAUGGUUCAUGCUCAGCUCCUGCAGACAGGUGGGUGCUUUAUGGCCCUGGGCAGAGUGAUGCUGUUAAACCCAUCUCUCUUACUCUAAUAAAGUCAUACUUGUCUGAGCA